CGGCUAGUGACUGUUUGAAUCUCAUUUUCUAACCGACGACCAAAAAAGAAAAUCGACGCACAGUCGUCUGAAAAUUGUCCGAUCAACCACCGGCCAACUACACCACCGUCGUAGUGAGCUUCACGCAUUUGCACCGGAAAGAAUACCGGUUAGUUUUCUCGCACAGAGUUCCAGUUGAAAAUUUAUUGAAUAAUAUUAGAUUUAUUAGAUUUAAUUAGAUGAAUAUUCGGUUUGAUUUCUAUCAUGAGCAUGAGUAGUGUUAGAUUGUGGGCAUGCUGGGAUGAAAAAUGUGAUAUUUUUCGUAAUUUUUGGACCUACUGACCGGCAAUGGCGAUUUCCAGUAGAAACGGGGAAGACGGAUAGUUUAACAGUCGGCCCACGACUGUUAAC
rnacentral:lncRNA from 1 species